rnacentral:rRNA from 1 species
GACGAACGCUGGCGGCGUGCUUAACACAUGCAAGUCGAGCGGUAAGGCCCUUUCGGGGGUACGACGAGCGGCGAACGGGUGAGUAACACGUGGGUGACCUGCCCUCAGCUCUGGGAUAAGCCUGGGAAACGUGGGUCUAAUACUGGAUAUGACUCCACGGUGCAUGUCGUGGGGUGGAAAGCCUUGUGCGGCUGAGGAUGGG